rnacentral:rRNA from 1 species
AAACUAAAUGGCUGCAGUAACUAUGACUGUAUGAAUGUAGCAUAAUCACUCGCCACUUAAUUAGUGGAUAGUAUGAAUGGUUAAACGAAAAUUUCUCUGUCUUAUGUAAUUAAAAAAAAAUUUAAAUCAUAGUUAAGAUGCUAUGUAAAAUUGUAAGACGAAAAGACCCUAUAAAGCUUAACUAUAAUCUUUUAUAAUAUAUAAUUAAACAACAAUAAAAUAAAGGAUUGGUAGUUUCAUUGGGGCGAUGGUCUCUAAAAAAAAACAGAGAUAAACUAUAUUAAUAAUAAAAAAUUUACUGUUUAAUAAAUAAAUUUAACAGUUACUAAGUAGGUUAUAAAGACCCAUUAUUAUCUAUAAAAAGAAAUAAUGAUCAAAAAAUAAAAGCUACUUUAGGGAUAACAGGAUAAUAUUUUCUAAGAGUCCUUAUCGAAGAAAAAGUUUAUCACCUCGAUGUUGAAUUAAGAUAACCUAAUGACGCAGC